CAUCGACCUGUGAUUCAUUCAACUUAUUGAUUCUUUACACUGCUACUCUAUCCCCCGAAACAAGAAAUGGCUUCCUUCUGCAGAUCAGCUCUAAUGGCCGGCUCGAGAUCCAUAGCUCGCUCAAGAACCCUCAGCCAGAGCUCCCUAAACUCCCUAAACCCUGCAGCCAUGUCGUCUCCAUUUGCUUCGGCCACCAGAACCAUCCCUUGCGCUACAAGCUUUGUUUCGGUAUUGGGAAGCAUGGAAUCAAUGAUGCCACUUCACAGUGCCAUUGCUUCUGCUCGGCUCAAAUCCAACAUUGCUGUCGAUUCCACCUGCUGGAGCUGCCUUUCUCAAGGUCUUGCAUCACCGUUGUGACAAGGCCCGCUGGCUAUGUGAGAAGCUGCAGUUCCUCGGUGAUAAAGACUCCAGGCUCAGGUCAUUUCAUGUUUUUGAACCAAAUUGGCUUGCAUAUUGGUUACUCCAUCCUCUGCCUUCUUUCUUUUUCCUUUGCUUUCUGGCAAUUGCAUUGUGUGAGGGCUUCUCGAUUCAAGCUGAACAUGAACCGAAUUUAACCAAGCAACCUGGCCUUGGUUCGAUCAAGUUGAACUGUACUGCGCUCCCCCUUAUGUGCUAAUGGCAUAUAAAUUGCAGUUUCUUAAAAGGAUUUCUGUGAUCAAUUUUGGGUUUUACUUCAACUUUUAGACAUUUGUGAUGGGUGAUGGCACAUGAUGUAACGAUUUCCGUGAAAACCUCUCGCAUCAUUGUAAUUCCAUUGUUUCGGUUGAUUAAGAUAACAUCCAUCUAGUGUGACUAGCAAGUUUCGAUCAAGUUCAUAAGAUUCA